GAUGAACGCUGGCGGCGUGCCUAAUACAUGCAAGUCGAGCGAACGGACGAGAAGCUUGCUUUUCUGAUGUUAGCGGCGGACGGGUGAGUAACACGUGGAUAACCUACCUAUAAGACUGGGAUAACUUCGGGAAACCGGAGCUAAUACCGGAUAAUAUUUUGAACCGCAUGGUUCAAAAGUGAAAGACGGUCUUGCUGUCACUUAUAGAUGGAUCCGCGCUGCAUUAGCUAGUUGGUAAGGUAACGGCUUACCAAGGCAACGAUGCAUAGCCGACCUGAGAGGGUGAUCGGCCACACUGGAACUGAGACACGGUCCAGACUCCUACGGGAGGCAGCAGUAGGGAAUCUUCCGCAAUGGGCGAAAGCCUGACGGAGCAACGCCGCGUGAGUGAUGAAGGUCUUCGGAUCGUAAAACUCUCUUAUUAGGGAAGAACAUAUGUGUAAGUAACUGUGCACAUCUUGACGGUACCUAAUCAGAAAGCCACGGCUAACUACGUG
rnacentral:rRNA from 1 species